UUUCAUCAUGGAAAGCCAUGGCGGUUACUGGAUCCAGAGAUAGAGCAAAUUGGUCGAGCCAUCUAAACUCAAACCUUGCCUUGCUAAGGGCAUCAUCCCAAGCUUGUGCGUAGGGAUGACCCUUUGCCAAAUCAGCAGCAUGAGCAGCAAUUUUGUAGGAUAUCACACCUGUCUUAACAUCAUCACGAUUAGGCAACCCAAGGUGCUCCUUUGGUGUAACAUAACAAAGAAGUGCAGUGCCAAGAGCUCCAAUGUUGGCCGCACCAAUGGCUGAGGUGAUGUGGUCAUAACCAGGUGCGAUAUCAGUUGUCAGUGGACCCAACGUAUAGAAAGGUGCUUCAUUACACCACUCCAGCUGUUUUUCCAUGUUUUCAGGAAUUUUAUGCAUUGGGAUGUGCCCUGGACCUUCAUUCAUCACCUAAAAGUUGAUAGAUAUCAGGAAGUUUGCCCCAAAGUUUCAACUAUUGAGUUAUAUACAAACCAUGGUCUACAAAUCAGCAAUUUGAAACUUUGAAUCAUCUAGUACUUUGUUAUAUGUUAGUCGAUUUAACAGAAAAUUCCUAGGUAAACUUAACUGCACUGGAAAUAAAAGCAGAUCACUGAUUAGAUGUUAAACAGCUAGAUGGUAUUAGGAGUGGCAUAUUUUAUGUUUGAUAUGCAAUCUGUUGAUCCAGCAAUCAUAUUUAGUUGUAUUGCAAAAGGAUAGCUUGGUUCACUGUUUUCCUUUCUGUCAAACUCGCAUUUUUCAAAUCCAACAAGUUUUGAGUAUAGAUCCUCACAAGUUACAAUAUAGAAUACUUUUCUGACCAGAUCUGCACAGGCGCUACCAUUUCCAACUAAUCAUUUACCUUAUGCAUUUUGAAGUUAAACCAUGUUUAUGUUCAGAACAGGUUUUUUAUUCUCACCUGCACAUCUUUCGCCCAUGCUCGACGUGUUAGUUCACCUUGAGUCAGCAGUUCUGCAAACUGAGCACUAUCAUUUGCGUCAUAAAUAGAACCGGGCCUCAAACCAUCACCAAUUGAUAAUGCCACAUCAUAUUGAUUGCAUAUGUCAAGAAUUUCAUCCCAGUGUUCAUAAGCAAAGUUCUCCUUGUGAUAAGUUAAGCACCAUUUUGCAUGAAUUGAGCCACCACGUGAAACUAUGCCAGUCAUUCUCUUUGCUGUAAGAGGAAUGUAACGAAGCAGGACACCAGCAUGGAUUGUGAAGUAAUCAACACCCUGCUCAGCUUGUUCAAUCAAGGUAUCCCUAAAGAUUUCCCAGCUCAGAUUUUCAGCAAUACCAUUUACUUUCUCAAGUGCUUGGUAAAUAGGAACGGUCCCAAUAGGAACCGGAGAGUUACGAAUAAUCCAUUCCCGGGUCUCAUGGAUAUGUCUCCCUGUUGAGAGAUCCAUGACAGUAUCAGCUCCCCACAUUGUGGCCCACUGGAGCUUGUGAACUUCAUCCUCGAUGGAGCUCAGAACAGCUGAGUUCCCAAUAUUUGCAUUCACCUUUACAAGAAAGUUUCUACCAACAAUCAUGGGUUCCAAUUCCAGGUGCCUCUUGUUGGAAGGAAUUAUGGCCCGUCCACGGGCAACUUCUGUCCGAACAAAUUCAGGACUAAGGUUCUCGCGCUUGGCACAGUAUAACAUCUC
rnacentral:lncRNA from 1 species